GAUAUUGCCAUAGCCGCUGGUGCUUUUUUAAUAAUAGAGGCAUUAACGGAGGCUAAAAAAAAAUAAAAAAGGAAAACAACAAAGAAUGUGGGCAAGGCGCCUAUUUUUGCGUCGUCAAAAUGUGGCAUUACUCAAUGACCUAGAUCAUAUGUAUAUGCAAAAUUUUACAAGGAUGGGUGCAGAAGAUUUUGAAAAUCUGAUAUGUUUAGUAGGUCCUGAAAUAGCCAAAAAAGACACAACUUUUUCGAAAGGCAAUUCCGGUGCAAGAUCGUCUGACAGUCACACUUCGCUUUUUAGCAACAGGGGACUCGUACAGUAGCCUACAAUACUUAUUUAGAAUAUCAAAACAAUCAAUUGAAACCUGCAAAGCACUCGUUCAAGAACUUAAGGAUAAAAUAAAGAUGCCUAGCAGUUCCAAAGAAUGGUUACAGACUAGUAGACAGUAUGAAGGAAAGUGGCAAUUUCCUCAUUGUGUUGGGUCAAUGGAUGGCAAGCAUGUUACAAUACAGGCCCCUUUUAACAGUGCCCUUGUUGAUGCCGACUACAAUUUUAUAUUUGUUGACAUUGGAUGCCAAGGAAGGAUAUCAGAAGGAGGAGUAUACAAAAAUACAACGCUUUACCGAAAAUUAGAAAAUAAUGAUCUAGGUUUGCCAGAAUAUUCUUCGUUGUCCAAUUCGAAUAAACCAAUGCCCUACGUUUUUCUAACAGAUGAGGCAUUUGCUUUAACGAAUCAUAUUAUGAAGCCCUUUUCUGGAAUACAUGAAGAAAGCAAUCUUGAAAGAACAUUUAACUAUCGACUAAGCCGCGCAAGAAGGGUAGUGGAAAACGUUUUUGGAAUUCCAUCAGCAAUAUUUAGGGUCCUAAGAAAGCCAAUAUUGUUUAGCCCUGAAAAAACACUAAAAGUGGUAAUGGCGGCUUGCUGUUUACAUAAUAAUUAUCUGAGGAAAAGCCGCCAAUCCAAUAAUAUUUACACUCCUCCGGGAAGUUUUGAACAUCAAGAAGACGAUCAAGGCAAUUAAUUUUAUCCCUGGCAGUUGGAGGCAGGAAAAACCUUCUGAAACAUCAGUAUUGCCUCUUAAAAAUAUUCCAAGAAAAUCGGCAUCUACAGCUAAAGAAAUCCGUAAUAGCUUUGCUCAAUAUUUGGUAAAGAAUUAGUUUUGAAAUUGAAGUAUAUUAUUUUUAAACAUGACUUGUGAUUAGAUUUACAUACCUCAACUGAA